rnacentral:ncRNA from 2 species
GAAAGCCGUAUGCGGAAAAACUGCACGUACGGUUUGAUGUGGCAGGAGAUGGAAACCAGACGUUAACCGCCAU